AUACUAACCUUGCGUAGGGUGUACCGUGAUCACGAAGGCGGUUGCCCCGGGCCGGCGCCAGCCAUUGCACUGCGGUUGGAUAAAGCUGGUCUGUGACUAUUCCACAAUGGAAUAUGUCGUACGUGUAAUUUUUGGUAGUUGGGCUUGCGUUCUGCGCAGUCCAC